rnacentral:misc_RNA from 1 species
UAAAUAAAUAUUCCACCGUCUCCAAUGGCGCUUCAGCUGCCAUUCCCACUCAUCUCUUCUUCCUUAUCAUCAUCACUCCCAUUGUUAACUUCUUCAAACUGCAAAAUUUGCUCAAUUUCCAUCUCACCCUUUACACAUAAACGCCUUUUAUCUCACUCCAAUCUACAAAAUUUUGGAUUUAGUAGCAGAGGCAGAAGCAAUUCUCUGUUUGUGAGUCAAGAAGACACCCAAUUGACUAAUGAGGAAGAAAGUUCCAUUUCCACUGCUACCCAACAAGAUGACGAUGACCCAGAUCCUGAAUCGCUUGAAUAUGUUUCUCAAAUUAAACGAGUGUUGGAGCUUCUUAAGAGAAAUCGGGAUAUGCUGUUCGGUGAGGUUAAAUUGACUAUAAUGAUUGAAGAUCCCAGGGACAUUGAGCGAAAGCGGCUUCUUGGCAUUGACGAUGAAAAUGCUCCCACAAGGGAUGACCUAGCUGCCUGUUUAGAAGAAAUAAAUGAAGGAGAAGUACCAAAAGAUCGGGUUGCUCUGCAGAUGCUUGCGGAAGAGAUGAAUUCAUGGCCUAAUUUGGAGGUUGAAGCCUUGAAGCAAAAUAAGAGCAGAUCCCUGUAUGCAAAAGCCACUGACACUGGUAUUGAUCCAAAAGAGGCUGCUAAGCGGCUCAAGAUUGACUGGGAUUCAGCAGCUGAGAUUGAGGAGGCAGCUGAUAGUGACGAACCAGAUGUUCCUCCAAUUCUGGGAUAUGGAGCUUUAUACUUGGUCUCUGCAUUACCAAUCAUCAUUGGCAUCUCUGUUGUGUUGAUUCUGUUCUAUAAUUCUCUACAGUGAUACACCUUUUGGCAUUUUUGCAGGGUGGAUAAAUUGUCAGUGUACACGAUUUGUCCUUCGAAUCAUAACAAUAGUGGAUACUUAAAUUUUGUUAUAGAAAAUGUAUGUUUGUAUCAGUUGUAAUAUAGAGCUCAUGAUGUAUUUUGAGUAAAGUCUCCCCUCUCCUGGCAUCAAAUCCAUUAUACAUAUACUCUGUGAAUGUGUGUUUUUAGUUAUAUGUAUGUAAGUGAAUCAG